CUUCAAUCACCACACGGGGGAGCUGCAGUAUUGGCAGCCCUUCCGUGUGCAAUGCACACAAAUGCUAGGGAAGGAGGCAACGGGCAGGCCAGUGGUAUGCAGUGACAGAGUCCAGACAACAUGAAAGAAUAGAGUAACCCCCCAGGAGAGUUGGGACAUUAACAUCUGGACUGGAGGGGUGUGAUGUUUGCUUCAGAACAAACCUCUGCUCACCAUGAAACAAGUGAUUGUGUUUGCUGACUGCCUGCCGAAACGCAUCACUGGCAAGAGGAAAGCUAGACACGUUCUCACUUCAUCCGAAAGAACAAAGCCCCUCAGUGCUUUUCCUCCUUUUAACAGAUUUUUUCAGCCCUCCGGCUCAACAAACUACCAAAGGAUCUUCUGUCAGACACAAAUGAAUCCAUUGGAAGAAAUAUCUUGUUAACUUGCAAUAAUCCUGAAGUCAGUCUACUGCAAAAAUAAAGGAAUGCAAAUACAAGCUUAAACCACAUUAGAGAAUAAAAACAUGAAAAUAACAUACAGCUCGUUUAAACAUAUGUAUAUAUUAAAUCUAUACAUAGCCAUGAUUUAUUUUCAACUGUCAAACCAAGCAAAUGCCCUUUGCUCAAUUGUAGACAAAAGAUAUGUAAAUAAGUAAAUAAUUACUCAAAUACUCUAGGACUAACUAUACAGAUAAAGUUUGCCAAGAUCUAUCUUUUUCAGUCAGAUGAGAUGGCAAUUAGAUGGUUUUAGCUUUAUUUCUUUUUUCAAAAACAGUUUAGCAUUUAACACGGGAUUAUAUUGACAAGCAUAUCAUGUCCGCUGUUAAGUGAAGUGGAGAAACAUUGAUGCUGUGAGUCUGUUUCUGGAAAUCUAGAAUUUUUGGAUUAUUAUCUCUGAAAUACCGGAGUAUUUUAGUGGAACAUUUGCGAAGUUUUGCCAAAAAUCUGAAAACAGUCCAUAAUUGGUUUUGUAGCAGAAUAAAAUGCAAGUCCAAAUCCAAAAUGUAGCGCCAAAUCGACACAUAAAUGUUUCAGCAGACACCAAAUCAACCUCUUUUCAUAGCUUUAGUGACCAGACAAAUAAAACAAAAAUCCAUUUACAUGGAUC